rnacentral:tRNA from 1 species
GUCGGCGUAGCUCAGUGGUAGAGCGAGGGACUCAUAAACCCUAGGUCGGAAGUUCGAUCCUUCCCGCCGGCA